CAUUUACAUUUUCUUUCUUUUAGAAUCAUUUGAGUGAGCUGGAAUAUUUCUAGUUUUAAGAUCAUUCACUCUAUUGAUGGAAGUUUUUAAUAAUGUAGGGGAGAAAAACAUAUAGAUGAUCAUUGAGGUAUGUGUAUUUAUAGAACUCAAUUUCUUAAUCACAGUUUUUCAGCAAUGUAUACAUGAAGCUCAAUAAAUUUUUAAAUAUUAAAAUAAAGUCAUAUAUUUUAAAAAUAUUUACUUGCAAUCAAGAUCAUCGUAAGACACAUCAUUUGAAUCAAAAUUAGUAUACUUUGAAGAUAAGAAAUGAUAUGUUUCGGAUGCGUAUCGGAGCAAUCAAAAUAAAU
rnacentral:lncRNA from 1 species